CUAUACAUGCAGUCGAGCGGACAGAUAAGGAGCUUGCUCCUUUGACUUAGCGGCGGACGGGUGAGUAACACGUGGGCAACCUGCCCCUUAGACUGGGAUAACUCCGGGAAACCGGAGCUAAUACCGGAUAAUCCCUUUCUCCACCUGGAGAGAGGGUGAAAGAUGGCUUCGGCUAUCACUAAGGGAUGGGCCCGCGGCGCAUUAGCUAGGUGGUAAGGUAACGGCUUACCAAGGCAACGAUGCGUACCCGACCUGAGAGGGUGAUCGGCCACACUGGGACUGAGACACGGCCCACACUCCUACGGGAGGCAGCAGUAGGGAAUCUUCCGCAAUGGACGAAAGUCUGACGGAGCAACGCCGCGUGAGUGAGGAAGGCCUUCGGGUCGUAAAGCUCUGUUGUGAGGGAAGAAGCGGUACCGUUCGAAUAGGGCGGUGCCUUGACGGUACCUCACCAGAAAGCCACGGCUAACUACGUGCCAGCAGCCGCGGUAAUACGUAGGUGGCAAGCGUUGUCCGGAAUUAUUGGGCGUAAAGCGCGCGCAGGCGGCUUCUUAAGUCUGAUGUGAAAUCUCGGGGCUCAACCCCGAGCGGCCAUUGGAAACUGGGGAGCUUGAGUGCAGAAGAGGAGAGUGGAAUUCCACGUGUAGCGGUGAAAUGCGUAGAGAUGUGGAGGAACACCAGUGGCGAAGGAGACUCUCUGGUCUGUAACUGACGCUGAGGCGCGAAAGCGUGGGGAGCAAACAGGAUUAGAUACCCUGGUAGUCCACGCCGUAAACGAUGAGUGCUAUGUGUUAGGGGUCUCCAUGCCCGUAGUGCCAAGUUAACACAUUAAGCACUCCCGCCGGGGAAUAC
rnacentral:rRNA from 2 species